rnacentral:rRNA from 1 species
AACAUAUUACCGAAGCUGUGGAUUGUCCUUUGGACAAUGGUAGGAGAGCGUUCUAAGGGCGUUGAAGCAUGAUCGUAAGGACAUGUGGAGCGCUUAGAAGUGAGAAUGCCGGUGUGAGUAGCGAAAGACGGGUGAGAAUCCCGUCCACCGAUUGACUAAGGUUUCCAGAGGAAGGCUCGUCCGCUCUGGGUUAGUCGGGUCCUAAGCUGAGGCCGACAGGCGUAGGCGAUGGAUAACAGGUUGAUAUUCCUGUACCACCUAUAAUCGUUUUAAUCGAUGGGGGGACGCAGUAGGAUAGGCGAAGCGUGCGAUUGGAUUGCACGUCUAAGCAGUAAGGCUGAGUAUUAGGCAAAUCCGGUACUCGUUAAGGCUGAGCUGUGAUGGGGAGAAGACAUUGAGUCUUCGAGUCGUUGAUUUCACACUGCCGAGAAAAGCCUCUAGAUAGAAAAUAGGUGCCCGUACCGCAAACCGACACAGGUAGUCAAGAUGAGAAUUCUAAGGUGAGCGAGCGAACUCUCG